UCCGGUUUGUCACCGGCAGUCCCAUUAGAGUGCCCAACUCAAUGUAGCAACUAAUGGCAAGGGUUGCGCUCGUUGCGGGACUUAACCCAACAUCUCACGACACGAGCUGUCGACAGCCAUGCAGCACCUGUGUCCCUCCCACCCGAAGUGAAGAAUCCCAUCUCUGAGAUCCAUAGAGGGCAUGUCAAGGCCUGGUAAGGUUCUUCGCGUUGCGACGAAUUAAACCACAUACUCCACCGCUUGUGCGGGUCCCCGUCAAUUCCUUUGAGUUUUAACCUUGCGGCCGUACUUCCCAGGCGGUGUGCUUAACGCGUUAGCUUCGUCACCGAAGGGGAACCCCCCAGCGACAAACACACAUCGUUUACGGCGUGGACUAC
rnacentral:misc_RNA from 1 species